rnacentral:RNase_P_RNA from 2 species
AGGGAUGAACAAAGAGUUGCUCGGGCGCUUUUAGCGUCCGAGAGGAAAGUCCGAGCUCCUAUUUAGUGCCGCAACCUGUUUAACAGAUUGCGGCCUUAAAAAAGGUAGUGGGUAAUACCCAUCCGCCGCAAGGCGAGAGGUGCGAACAGUGACGUUCCUGUUUGCAAAAACAGGGAAUUCCUUCGGUACUCAAAGGAAAAACUGCCCGAUAAGACGGUUGAAAUUUGACCGUUAAAACGGCAGGUGAAACGGCAAAAUCCUUACCCGGGUGCAAGUCAAAGAAGUAUAAUAGACGCAGGAGCACGGCGGAAACACCGUGCCAAGAGAAAUAACUCUUACCCUUGAAAAGGGGCACAAAACUCGGCUUAACGUUCAUCCCUUUUA